UACAGAGGUCUCAAGCGUUGUUCGGAUUCAUUGGGCGUAAAGGGUGUGUAGGUGGCGCGCUAAGUCGGGUGUGAAAUUUCGGAGCUUAACUCCGAAACUGCAUUCGAUACUGGCGUGCUUGAGGACUGGAGAGGAGACUGGAAUUCAUGGUGUAGCAGUGAAAUGCGUAGAUACAAUCAAGAACUCCGAUUGCGUAGGCAGCUAACUAGGCUGUAACUGACGCUGAGGCACGAAAGCGUGGGGAGCGAACAGG
rnacentral:rRNA from 1 species